CCAGUGAUAACCUGGAGGAAGGUGGGGAUGACGUUCAAGUCAUCAUGGCCCUUACUGAGUAGGGCUACACACGUGCUACAAUGGCGUGAUACAGAGGGCAAGCCAUAUGGCUGACGAUGGAGCAUAUUCUCCAGUAAAGUACACGUUCUCAGUNCCGGAUUGUGAGUCUGCAACUCGACCUANCAUGAAGUCGGAAUCGCUAGUAUCGCANAUCAGA
rnacentral:rRNA from 1 species